CUACCCGGGUAUCUAAUCCCGUUUGCUCCCCUGGCUUUCGCGUCUCAGCGUCAGAAAACGUCCAGGACCUCGCUUUCGCCACGGGCGUUCCUUCCGAUCUCAACGCAUUUCACCGCUCCACCGGAAGUUCCAGGUCCCCCUACGUUCCUCCAGGAAGGUCGUAUCGGCGCCACUUCCCCGGUUGAGCCGGGGGAUUUCAACGACCGACGUGCCCUCCCGCCUACACGCGCUUUAAGCCCAGUGAUUCCGAAUAACGUUCGCACGGUUCGUCUUACCGCGGCUGCUGGCAC
rnacentral:rRNA from 1 species